UGGGGAAUAUUGCACAAUGGGCGCAAGCCUGAUGCAGCCAUGCCGCGUGUAUGAAGAAGGCCUUCGGGUUGUAAAGUACUUUCAGCAGUGAGGAAGGCGGGUGUGUUAAUAGCACAUUCGUUUGACGUUAGCUGCAGAAGAAGCACCGGCUAACUCCGUGCCAGCAGCCGCGGUAAUACGGAGGGUGCGAGCGUUAAUCGGAAUUACUGGGCGUAAAGCGCAUGCAGGUGGUUUGUUAAGUCAGAUGUGAAAGCCCGGGGCUCAACCUCGGAAUUGCAUUUGAAACUGGCAGACUAGAGUACUGUAGAGGGGGGUAGAAUUUCAGGUGUAGCGGUGAAAUGCGUAGAGAUCUGAAGGAAUACCGGUGGCGAAGGCGGCCCCCUGGACAGAUACUGACACUCAGAUGCGAAAGCGUGGGGAGCAAACAGG
rnacentral:rRNA from 1 species